rnacentral:misc_RNA from 1 species
UUCAUACUUCUUCCGCCCCCAAUUGAAUGACAAUGAGUUACUUUCGACAUGAUGCAUAGGAGGUGUAGUUGAUUUGACUGAUUUUGGACUGCGCUCCUUUGGGUAUGGAUAUAUAUUGGCCAGUUCAUAAACACGUUGAAGCAGGGACUUUGGCAGUGGACGCGAGGCAUGUGACUGCUUCCGAUCGAUCCCUUUUCUGUUCUGUAUGUUAACACAGCUAGCUCUCAGAAGAUUUCGCCAUUUGUCCCUGAGGUCUAUAGGUGUGCGAUGAGGAGAAGAUGCAAAUAGGUGCUUCUUUAUAUGAGUCCAGCGGCCAGUUCCAUAUUCAGCAAUUCCAUCAACUAAUCGCAUAACUUCCGUAAGGGUCCACAUCUUCUGGUGCCUCCUAUCAUACUUUUUACAUCUUUUAGCAGAUGAAUAAACACUUUUACACUCAGUUGCAGAAGAUUCAUCUUCAGACAGAAAUCCCUGUAAUGUAGAAUGAAAGAACUUAAAAUUCCGAAACAUGGCAGAAUUAGUUCCGUGCAUUUGGGGUCUUGAGCACAGACAACUACAAUAGCGAAAAAAGAUACAGAGGAUUGGGAAGGGGGAAGAUAAGCAACUGAAUUAGCGGGGAGGAGUGGCAGAAGACCAGAAAGUAACAACUGCACAACAGAAUAAUGC